UACGUAGGGUGCAAGCGUUAAUCGGAAUUACUGGGCGUAAAGCGUGCGUAGACGGUUAUUUAAGUCAGGUGUGAAAGCCCCGGGCUCAACCUGGGAAUUGCAUUUGAGACUGAAUAGCUAGGGUGCGGAAGAGGGAAGCGGGAAUUUCCGGUGUAGCGGUUGAAAUGCGUAGGAUAAUCGGAAGGAACACCAGUGGCGAAAGGCGGCUUCC
rnacentral:rRNA from 1 species